AGUAGAUAGCUGUAGAGAGCUGUAGAUCUUUCAGAUUGCAGAGUUUGUCCUCUCCUCCCAAACGCGUGCGCUGGAGUUGAAGCUGCGGUGGCCAUGGGAGUGUUGUUCAUGUCAGAUCGACUGCUGUGGAUGGCUUCCAUUCUUUCAGGUAACAAGCUUUAAAACCCAGGCCAAGGUUUCAGAUUUGGCAAGAGCAAAUAGCUGUUCGGGUGCUCACAAUGAAGAUGGGGAGAGAGGAAAGAAGAAAAGGAGGGAUGCAAGUUGAAUAUUUGCCUGCAAGGAAAGCCAGCACUGGUCAUUUAAAUCAUCUAAGAAACCUGAAUUUUCAGAAGUGUGAUGCCUUUUUUUUUUUUUUUCCAUAAAGGCCAAUCAAGUUCUUUGAGAUGUUUAUAAGUCUUUCUACUCUCCUCCCACCCCCCACACACCUCCUUUCCUGUUUUGUACCCUGUCUGCUUGCAGAAAUGGUGGCUAUGGAUGUAAAAGCUCCAUGAUUCUUCCUUUUCACUGUUUUUCCAAACCUGGGGACACCAAGAGAUAUCCUGGAAUAGGAGGAGAAAGAAUGGGAGACCAACAAGCAAGAAAAUAGCAAAAGUUCAAAAGAAGAACUGUAAGGAAGGGGAAGAGUUGGGACAAAAAAAUGUUAGAGGAUGAUAAAGACUGAUAGGUUAUGGAUGGUUCUUGAAGUUCAGAAAAAAAUGAGGUUGUGAGGAGAGCAACAAAGAAACGUAUUUGUUUGGCCUGGCCACACCUGUUUAACCGUGAGAAAAGAUUUCUGCCUCCCUGUCUAAACAGGGCAAAGAGAUCCUAUAACAGUUGUGUUGCUCACCAAUCCCAUGCUGCUGUCUCCUGCUGUUGUCCCCAGGUUUGAUCCAGUUAUAUCUGCUUUCUGCAGGUGCAGUUGGACCUUGCCUGAGAUCUGCAACUUAGCCCCUUAAAUUUGCUGGUAUUUCUUUACGUAUCUGCUGAUUUCAAGGUUGACUGCUUGGGUCUGAUGCAAAGCAAAACCCCAAUGUACUGCUAUCCUUUGUACUGCUUCUAAAGAAAACAACAAUUUUCUUGUUACUGACUUUCUAUUUUACCUUUAUUGUAUUGUAUGUCCUCAGAUUCUUUAAUUUCUUAUUCUAUUUAAAAACUGGCAUUCCCUAAUGUU